ACGGAUAUGGUGAAAUUGGUAAACACUGUAGAUUUAGAAUUUACUUUUUGAGAGUUCAAGUCUCUCUAUCCGUA
rnacentral:tRNA from 1 species